rnacentral:rRNA from 1 species
CAGUCGCCGCGGUAAUACAGAGGGUGCGAGCGUUAAUCGGAUUUACUGGGCGUAAAGCGUGCGUAGGCGGCUUCUUAAGUCGGAUGUGAAAUCCCUGAGCUUAACUUAGGAAUUGCAUUCGAUACUGGGAAGCUAGAGUAUGGGAGAGGAUGGUAGAAUUCCAGGUGUAGCGGUGAAAUGCGUAGAGAUCUGGAGGAAUACCGAUGGCGAAGGCAGCCAUCUGGCCUAAUACUGACGCUGAGGUACGAAAGCAUGGGGAGCAAACAUGAUUAGGUACCCGAGUAGUCCCUGUCUCUUAUAC